rnacentral:rRNA from 1 species
GUGCAGCCGCCGCGGCUAAUACGUAGGGGCAAUCGUUAUCCGGAUUUACUGGGUGUAAAGGGAGCGCAGACGGUUAUGCAAGUCUGAAGUGAAACCCCACGGCUCAACUGUGGGCUUGCUUUGGAAACUGUAUAACUAGAGUACUGGAGAGGUAAGCGGAAUUCCUAGUGUAGCGAUGAAAUGCGUAGAUAUUAGGAGGAACAUCGGUGGCGAAGGCGGCUUACUGGACAGCAACUGACGUUGAGGCUCGAAGGCGUGGGGAGCAAACAGGAUUAGAUACCCUGGUAGUCCACGCGGUAAACGAUGAAUACUAGGUGUUGGGAGACAUAGUUUCUCAGUGCCGUCGCUAACGCAGUAAGUAUUCCACCUGGGGAGUACGUUCGCAAGAAUGAAACUCAAAGGAAUUGACGGGGACCGCACAAGCGGUGGAGCAUGUGGUUUAAUUCGAAGCAACGCGAAGAACCUUACCAGAUCUUGAGAUCCAGAUGAAUAACGGACAAUGCCGUUAGCUCUUCGGAGCAUCUGAGACAGGUGGUGCAUGGUUGUCGUCAGCUCGUGUCGUGAGAUGUUGGGUUAAGUCCCGCAACGAGCGCAACCCUUGUUCAUAGUAGCCAGCAGUAAGAUGGGAACUCUAUGGAGACUCCCAGGGAUAACUUGGAGGAAGGUGGGGAUGACGUCAAAUCAUCAUGCCCCUUAUGAUCUGGGCCACACACGUGCUACAAUGUCAGUAACAAAGGGAAGCGACGGAGCGAUCCUGUGCAAAUCUCAAAAAUAACGACCCAGUUCGGACUGUAGGCUGCAACCCGCUUGCACGAAGCUGGAAUCGCUAGUAAUCGCAGAUCAGAAUGGUGCGGUGAAUACGUUCCCGGGUCUUGUACACACCGCCCGU